GGAAGCUAGACAAUAAUAUACCUCCAAUCAACAACUGUACAACAAGUGUUACAUCACGGCGGAAAAUUACGUGAAACCAAAAUUAAGAAACGCAAAAAAAGUCAGUGCCAUAAUGGACGGGAUUCCCCUAGAAGGUCUACUUUCUCUAUUUCAUAACAUGAUUAUCAGGCGACAAUAGAGAUUUCGAUUCCUGAAAUAACCGCACGGUCGGAAAUGGAAAUCUGAGGAAUAACCAGAAAUAAAAGUAACAGAACGAGAAACGAUUUCCCGCUCAGCUAUUCGCUCAAGGCAAAUCGAGUAACCAACGUGGAAAAAGAUUGAGAGCGUGAGAGAUAGAUAUGGAGGGCGAUAUCGUCAGACGAAUAAAAUAAGAAACUCGAGGACGUACCUGUGUGGAUGCAGCCGGGCGACAAGCAAAUAUCUCCUUCCGGCGACUUCUCGACAACUUGAGGCACCUUCUUGGCAAGCGGCGCACCGAUGAGGGCUUCCGCUGUGGACGGUAGCAUUUCCGCAUUAGCCGGAGCUUUAUAUGCCAGCGAUGCAGCGUUACGGUGACAAGUGCGAAUGGUAAACCGUGCAGUGGUGGCAGUGGUGGUUGUGAUCGGGGCGAGCAGAACGUGAAUGGUUUACGUGCGGCGAUUCAACAUUUUUCAAUGAGUGCAACAAUGUGAUGUUAUUUUAAUGAGGUAUUGGCAAUAAUAAUGUGGUAUGAUAUUAUACUAAAUGUGGCUGUGCAUCGAAAUGAAUGAGUUAAAUAUUUCAGACUUAUAGUUAUUUAAAAUAAAUGCUUCAUACUAGCGAAA